UACGUAUGUUCCAAGCGUUAUCCGGAUUUAUUGGGCGUAAAGCGAGCGCAGACGGUUAUUUAAGUCUGAAGUGAAAGCCCUCAGCUCAACUGAGGAAUUGCUUUGGAAACUGGAUGACUUGAGUGCAGUAGAGGAAAGUGGAACUCCAUGUGUAGCGGUGAAAUGCGUAGAUAUAUGGAAGAACACCAGUGGCGAAGGCGGCUUUCUGGACUGUAACUGACGUUGAGGCUCGAAAGUGUGGGUAG
rnacentral:rRNA from 1 species